GGAUGCGAUCAUACCAGCACUAAAGCACCGGAUCCCAUCAGAACUCCGAAGUUAAGCGUGCUUGGGCGAGAGUAGUACUAGGAUAGGUGACCUCCUGGGAAGUUCUCGUGUUGCAUUCC
rnacentral:rRNA from 1 species